rnacentral:lncRNA from 1 species
UCAUUACUAGCCUGUACCCCCGCACACUGACUCGGUACCGGUACCCCCUGUAUAUAGCCUCGAUAUUGUUAUUCUUAUUGUCUUACUUUUUAUUAUUACUUAUUACUUUAUACUUUUUAGCCUAAUUGGUCAAUAUUUUCUUCUUCUUGAACUGCAUUGUUGGUUAAAGGGCUUGUAAGUGAACAUUUCACGGUGAGGUCUACAGUUGUUGUAUUCGGCGCAUGUGGCAAAUAAAGUUUGAUUUGAUGUGAUAAAUCAUACCGGGCCCAGUUUCCCCCCGUAGCGAUGGAAUUUAGGAUUAUGAUUGUUUUAACGAUGCAUCUUUUCUACAACGGCCCGAAUAUGUAACAAACGUUUUCCCUCAAACAUCACGCAGAGAGAAAAUGGUCGCUAAAUGCGUCGUCGGAGCACGUGUCCAUACUGAUAGGAUUGAAAGGAAGGGAGCGUUGUUCUUGGAUCCGUUUUUCCUCGAUUCAAAUCGUUCCUUAGUAUUAGAAUUAUUGCACAAUACUAGAGCGACAUAACCGGCUUAUUCUAAUGCUUAGCCAAACUAAAUAACCAAUUCGGCACAUCAUUGCUUACAUUUUACGCCAUGUAUCAUGAAAUAUAUUGAGACUAAUUACAGACAGUAGCCUACAAGUAGCAAAAUAUAACUCCUUUGAUAUAACAUGUUAUUUCACUAUGAUUGAAAUAGGUCUAUAGCCUACUAUUUCUAUUUCAAUGCAGUCAUCUCGCUUUUCAUUUGAAGCAUAUUUUUUAUAUACAUCACUUGUUUGCAUCACUUGCAAAGACAUUGGCAACUUUGUAUUUGUAGUCGACUGUGUUCUGAAGUUAUUGGCAGGUCACAGAGAAACAGAUAAACAAUGUGAUUCUAUGAUUAGCGGAGAUCUACUGUGUAUGAAGAAACACGGGAGGGCAAAAAAAAAGCAUUGAGCGGUGUGCUUAGCUGUUCUACGAAUGGUCUGAGGGCAGGAGUUAGAUUACCAGUGGUCUGAGGGCAGGAGUUAGAUUACCAGUGGUCUGAGGCGUUAGAUUACCAGUGGUCUGAGGCGUUAGAUUACCAGUGGUCUGAGGCAUUAGAUUACCAGUGGUCUGAGGCGUUAGAUUACCAGUGGUCUGAGGGCAGGCGUUAGAUUACCAGUGGUCUGAGGGCAGGCGUUAGAUUACCAGUGGUCUGAGGGGAGGAGUAAGAUUGCCAGUGGUCUGAGGGCAGGAGUUAGAUUACCAGUGGUCUGAGGCAUUAGAUUACCAGUGGUCUGAGGGCAGGCGUUAGAUUACCAGUGGUUUGAGGCAGGCAUUAGAUUACGAGUGUUUUCAAGUGCAACGUUGAUAACGAUGGAUUUCAGAUUUAAUGAUGCUCCUAUGAAUGUUCUAUUGACGAAUUUAGCCUUCAAAUGCUUUUGGGAAACUGAAAACCGACUCAAACGUCAACAUAACAGAAUGAUAUCAUGGUUGCUACGGGCGGCAGCAGGUGAGUGUGGGGCACUGGCAUGUUAAUACAUGUGUUUAAUUGUUUUAAAAUCUUACCCUUUAUUGCCUUAUGUUGUGACUAGACACACACGCAAUCACAAUCAUACACGCACGCACACACCUGAGGUAUUUCUACAGAUGGUGAUAUCCCUCCAAUUUCCUAGACUGUCAGCGACAAGGUGGAAGAGACAGAGACAGACACAGAGAGAGAGAGAGAGACAGAGAGCGAGAGAGAGAGAGAUAUUAAAUUGAAUGAACUGCAGGACAAAAUACAACCUCCAACCCAAAAAGGCCUGUGGUGUUGAUAGUAUCCUCAAUGUGAAAUGAUAAAAUAUUGACCACAAAUUCCAAUUGGCUAUACUUAAACUCUAGCUCUGGCAUCUUCCCCAAUAUUUGGAACCAAGGACUGAUCACCCCAAUCCAUAAAAGUGGAGGCAAAUUUUACCCCAGUAACUGCCGUGGAAUAUGCAUCAACAGCAACCUUGGGAAAAUCCGCUGCAUUAUCAUUAACAGCAGAAUCGUACAUUUCCUCAGCAAAACAAUGUACUGAGUAAAUGUGAAAUUGGCUUUAUACCAAAUUACCGUAUGACAGACCACGUAUUCCCCCUGCUCAACCUAAUUGACAAACAAACAAACCAAAACAAAAGCAAAGUCUUCACAUGCUUUGUUGAUUUCAAAAAAAGCUUUUGACUCCAUUUGGCAUGAGGAUCUGCUACACAAAUUGAUGGAAGGCUGUUUUUGGGGAAAAACAUAUGACAUUUUAAAAUCCAUAUACCCAAACAACAAGUGAGCGGUUAAAACUUCUUAAGUGUCCUGCUAGGCGUCCCGCUAGCAGGACAACUUCCGGUGAAACUGGAGGGUGCGAAUUGAAAUAAAUAAUCAUAAAAAAUAUGGAUAUUAAACAUUUAGGUACAUACAAGUGUCGUAUAUCGGUUGAAAGCUUAAAUUAUUGUUAAUCUAACUGCACUGUCUGAUUUACAGUAGGCUUUACAGCGAAAGCAUGCCAUGUGAAUGUUUGAAGACAGCACCCCACAUCAAAAUAUUUUUCCACCGGCACAGAUUUCAUAAAUUCACAAAUAGUGAUCAAAUAUUCACUUACUUUUUGAAAAUCUUCCUCUGAUUUAUCAUCCAAAGGAUCCCAGCUAUAACAUGGAGUGUCGUUUUGUUAGAUAAAAUCCUUCUUUAUAUCCCAAAAAAGUAUGUUUAGUUGGCGCCAUCGAUUUGUGUAAUCCACUCAUUCAACAUGCCACAAUAGGAAUCCAAAAAUCUACCCCUUAACUUUGUUUCAACAAGUCACAAUACGUUUCUAUUUAAUCCUCAGAUACGCUAAAAUGUAAUUAAACUAUCAUAUUUAAAAACGGAAAGAAGUAUGUUCAAUAGGAAUCCGAUUUUAGCAGGUACGUGUUGUCUUCAUGUCGCACCCACACACGAAUUUCCAAGCAGGUGUCCUUGUACUAAAACUCAUAUUUCUUACUCGUUUGGAAGCCAUAGGAAUUGCAUCCUGGGAGGUAGAAUUCAUUAUGCCCCUAUACUUUCUAUUGGAAGAGCAUGGGCUCUCCCCCAAAAGAUAUUCUGGUUGGUUUUUCUUUGGAUUUUCUCCUACCAUAUCUAUUGUGUUAUAGUCUCUUACAUUAUUUUAACAUUUCAACAAACUCCAAAGUGUUUUCUUUCCAAUGUUACCAAUUAAAUGCAUAUCCUGGCUUCAGGGCCUGAGUAACAGGCAGUUUACUUUGGGCACGUCAGUCAGACAGGAAGUGGAG